GGGGAUGUAGCUCAAACAGUAGAGCGCUCGCUUUGCAUGCGAGAAGUUACGGGGUUCGAUACCCCGCGUCUCCA
rnacentral:tRNA from 1 species